CACGCCGUAAACGAUGAGUACUAGGUGUAGGGGGUAUCGACCCCCCCUGUGCCGCAGUAAACACAAUAAGUACUCCGCCUGGGAAGUACGAUCGCAAGAUUAAAACUCAAAGGAAUUGACGGGGACCCGCACAAGCAGCGGAGCAUGUGGUUUAAUUCGAAGCAACGCGAAGAACCUUACCUAGACUUGACAUCCCCUGAAUUACCUGUAAUGAGGGAAGCCCUUCGGGGCAGGGAGACAGGUGG
rnacentral:rRNA from 1 species